UUGGUUGAGCUAGACGCCAAAAGCAAUAUUGCAACACCAUGCGUGAGGAACAUGAUUCUGCCAGUAUUUAAGCAUUAUACUUGCUAACACUGAGAGCUUAAUUAUCUUUGAUGCAACCAGUCCGUCCAAGCAUCCAAAUAGUUGAUUUGGGAUGUAGAGAUUAAAGAACAGUAGGGCGUCAGGUUCAGAAUUGCCUUGGCAUCUUCCAGUGUGGGACGAUGUUGAUUGUCGGGAUUUGAAGAUAAGUGUGCCCCAUACCGUGGCUGAGCCUGUCGGUUUCGCACAGUGGCUGCACGACACCUCAUGGACCCGAUGUGAAGGACAAGUAAGCCAUCCACACGAAGUCGGCGGCAGCAAGGGUGUGGGGCGUCGGGAGGAGCAUCUGGGUUGAAGGUUCUGGCCCUCGCCAUUGAGACUACCGUGUUCGUCGCCGAGUACAUCUGGUAUGUACGCAACGAACCUCCCUAAUGCAAUGUCGCUGCUGUUUAUUUCAUCUUUUGAUUGCGGCAGACUAUAUUCCACUAAGGCACAUUAGGGAGUAGCUUUGGGAUAGGGGCCAAACCUGCAUAUUUUGAUCAAUUAUUUUUAUUAGAUUAGCAAUGGGAGCUUACUGUUCAGUGAGGAUUUUCCCCCUUAAAGUCAUAUUGUUAAUAUCCAAAAAAUUUAAUGGGUGGGUGGUGAUGUCCCACUGCUUUGCCCUUUUAAUUCCAGCACUUAAAUAAGAAUUGGAGGGCAGACGUUGCACAAAUGGAUCAUGUGGCAUUU